UUUCCGUAGGUGAACCUGCGGAAGGAUCAUUACUGUGUUUUGCGGUUGGGCUCGCCCGACCCCGCACACCCCCUGUGUACCGUCACCGGUUGCUUCGGCGGGCCGCUGGCCUCAGCCGCCGCCCCCCCGCGGGCGGCGUGUCGCCCGCCGAUGGACCUUUGAACCCUGGCUUUUGCAGUGAUGUCCGAGCCAUAUACGAGAAAUCGCAUAAAACUUUCAACAACGGAUCUCUUGGUUCCAGGAUCGAUGAAGAACGCAGC
rnacentral:misc_RNA from 1 species